CCAUGACGUUAGUUUCGCUUUCGUCACGCACUCGUGUAUGAAGUACAGUCUUGAAGUAAACAGAAGUGAGCAGUAAAGUUUCGAACUGCUGAAGGUGUGGUACCCCUGCAAGAAGCCGGACCAGGCCUUCACCCACUUCCAGGAUGCAGAAGAUGGAUUACCCAGUGGAGGCAACGGUUCAUCUGAACCAUUUUCAAGAUGUGUCAGAAGUGCGACGCCUCCUCAGGUCACAUGGUUUUCAAAUAGUGGAGCUGGGCAGAGGUCAGGUGCGUGUUAAAGGUGUUUUUUGGAAGCUCGUAGAUGUGCAGGCCGAUUUGGAGCUGCUUAGACGGUCACAACCAAGGACAGCAUCAUCAAUACAAGCCAUUUCCCCUGGAGCUGUGCCCAAAUAUCACAACAACAACGACAGGAGCCGGCCACAAUCCAGAGACAAGUAUCCAAAUUUUUUUGCAGCUUCACCCUCCUCGUCUCCUCGCAGCAGUCCAGUCUCUCAGCACCAUAGAGCUGCCGUCUCUCCAGCUCCGUCCAGACAUAGAAGUGAGUCCUUUGUUGUUGAUGCAGAUGUCUUCACGUAUGCAAAGCACCUCAGGAAAAGAGACAUGGACACCAUCCUGAAUGGCCAUAAUGUUGAAAUACAAGUAAAGGAAAGUGAUGAGAGCACUGUCAUCACGUUAAAGGGGAGGAGCUCAAAGACUGCAGCGAAUAAACUGCAGGACCUUUUGGAAAAUCUCACCAAAUCACUACGCACGCAGGAAGUUCCUCGAGAGGACAUGGCCCAUGAAGGCACUGCUCUUUUGGAGAAAAUCCGGAAAGACAAAAACGUCUAUGGUUUGGUGCUGGUGUGUGAAAUGAGUGACAGGCUUCACCUCAUCGGCCCAUCAGGCAAGAGCUACGAGUUAAAACAAAGGCUGCUGGGAAGGAAGAGCGACCCGUCCGGACGCACAGGAAGGAGCAGCUCCCUGCCACCAACGAAUCGAAACAACACAGGAAGAGAAAAUAGUGCCAGAGCUCGGGGGUUCUCUCCUCAGAGAGCUCCUGCUGCUGCUGCUGCUUCUGCUGCUGCUCCUCCUUUUUCUCCAUCUCCUCCUCCUCAAGCCCAAAGUGGAGCUUCGAGGAGAAGAAGCUUCUCCGAGUCCCAUGAACAGAAAGAGGCACAGAGAGCUGCUGGUGGCGGACCUGAGAAAGAAAAGAAACACAACGCAUCAUCCAUAAACAUCUUACCACACCUGCUAGAUGUAAAGAACAUAACUGUUAAACUGUUUAAAAUCAGGAAAAAGAAAUGAUACAUGAUACAGGAUGCACAGAUUGUUAGCUUAGCACAAACACUGUAGACUGGGGGGGAAACAGUUAGCCUAGCUCUUACACAGAAAGGAUGCUCUCUGUGUCUGUGAGGCAGCUGUGGACGCCACAGCUGCUGUACUGGGGCACUUUUAAUACACUGUUUAAUUCUUUCUUUUUCUUUUCUAGUAUUCAGCGAUGGUGCAUUCUAUUUUUUAGGUGCCUUUCAAAAAGGACAUUUACAAGCAUGAUAAAAAGCAGCUGGUUGCAGAAAGCACAACAUUUAUGUCACAUAAAAGUGACAUUGUCAUGUGUAUGUAUGUAUCUGAAGCUGUUGAACAAAUUUAUUAUUACUGCCAAUCACACUUUUGUGUAACAUGUAAACUUCCUUGACUGAAAUCUUUAUAUUAGUUGGUAAAUGAAAAAAAAAACUGACAAAGAAUGAAGUGAGUAUUAAACACACGACAUAAG
ensembl:lncRNA uncharacterized LOC114431589